rnacentral:rRNA from 1 species
UGGCGGCGUGCUUAACACAUGCAAGUCGAACGAUGAAGCCCAGCUUGCUGGGUGGAUUAGUGGCGAACGGGUGAGUAACACGUGAGCAACCUGCCCCUGACUCUGGGAUAAGCGCUGGAAACGGCGUCUAAUACUGGAUACGAGUAGCGAUCGCAUGGUCAGUUACUGGAAAGAUUUUUUGGUUGGGGAUGGGCUCGCGGCCUAUCAGCUUGUUGGUGAGGUAAUGGCUCACCAAGGCGUCGACGGGUAGCCGGCCUGAGAGGGUGACCGGCCACACUGGGACUGAGACACGGCCCAGACUCCUACGGGAGGCAGCAGUGGGGAAUAUUGCACAAUGGGCGGAAGCCUGAUGCAGCAACGCCGCGUGAGGGAUGACGGCCUUCGGGUUGUAAACCUCUUUUAGCAGGGAAGAAGCGAGAGUGACGGUACCUGCAGAAAAAGCGCCGGCUAACUACGUGCCAGCAGCCGCGGUAAUACGUAGGGCGCAAGCGUUAUCCGGAAUUAUUGGGCGUAAAGAGCUCGUAGGCGGUUUGUCGCGUCUGCUGUGAAAUCCCGAGGCUCAACCUCGGGCCUGCAGUGGGUACGGGCAGACUAGAGUGCGGUAGGGGAGAUUGGAAUUCCUGGUGUAGCGGUGGAAUGCGCAGAUAUCAGGAGGAACACCGAUGGCGAAGGCAGAUCUCUGGGCCGUAACUGACGCUGAGGAGCGAAAGGGUGGGGAGCAAACAGGCUUAGAUACCCUGGUAGUCCACCCCGUAAACGUUGGGAACUAGUUGUGGGGUCCAUUCCACGGAUUCCGUGACGCAGCUAACGCA